GGUUUCUAUUGAAGCGCACCACUGUUUGACUACUGUGUUAUCUCAGUAUGAUCCAUUCAGAUGUCUUACUGUCAUUGUACCUUUAUUGGUCACUGAUGAUGAAAAGACACUAGUCAUUUGCAUAAAUUGUCUGACAAAGCUUGUGAGUCGGCUGUCACAAGAAGAACUGAUGACUCAAUUGCCUUCCUUUCUUCCUGCACUUUUU
rnacentral:misc_RNA from 1 species